rnacentral:lncRNA from 1 species
UUUAAUGAUAUAUUUUAAAUAAAAUUUAAAAUGUUUUUAUUUUCAUAAUAAUACUAUUUUGUAUUUUUUACUGUUUUGAAAAUAAUAUUUUAUUAUUAAUAGUAUUAUAGUUGAAAAGAAAAAAACCAAAAACCACAAUCUAAAAUUACCAUUCAAGUUUUUGAAAAACCAAAAUCUACCGAAAAAUAAAAAACCCAAAAUUUAAAACCAAAAUUUCAAAUCUAAAAACUAAAAUCUAAAAACCAAAACCUAAUAUACAAAAACCACUUAAUCAAUCAUCACCUUAAUAUACCUAAAAUACUUAAAAUAUCUAUUGAUUUUCAAUCCAAAUAUUUUAUCUAAACCAAUUUUUAGGUUAAGUUUAAGUAUUUUGGCAUACAUUAUUCAAAUUUAUAUGUUAUAAAUUAUUUAUAUUUUUAGAUUUUGAAAUAUUCAAAGUAUAUAUGAACUUUAAUUUUUGAAAAAAUAAAUAAAUAAGUUAUCCAAACCCAAACCCGAACCAGACCCGCAAAGAGCAGAACCGAACCAAACCCGCAAGGAUCUGAAUCGAACCUAAUCAAAUGGUACUCGAAUGCCCACAUCUAAUCAAAUGUAAAAAAAAUUAUCGAUAAUAAAAUAUAUAUUGUUUACAAUAUUUUAAUACAAUAUAUUUUAAAAAAAUUCACUCCUUGCAGGGCACAUAUUAUCAUCUAGUUUUCGUAGUAUUCAAUUCGUA